AUGUAUCAUCAUCUCCUGCAAGGCUGCCGACUCCAGAGCUCACACAGUGCUGGACGCGCCGCGACGAGUCGGAGGGGAAAGAUCAAGAUGGAGGCGGCCGCCUCGAAUCCGUCGAGCAAGAGGAUCGCCCUGGUCACCGGGGGGAACAAAGGGGUCGGGCUGGAGACGUGCAGGCAGCUCGCGUCCAAGGGGCUCAAGGUCGUGCUAACGGCGAGGAACGCGGCGAGGGGGCUGGAGGCGGUGGAAGACGUCAGGCGCUCCGGUGCUGACGCUGUUUUCCAUCAGUUGGAUGUCACCGACCCUAACAGCGUCGCCCGGCUGGCAGAUUUCGUCAGGGAUCAGUUCGGGAAGCUCGAUAUCCUGAUAAACAAUGCAGGCAUUUCAGGCGUUGAUCGAGAUCCAGUUCUGGUUGCGAAAGUUAAAGAACAGGUUGAAAGCAUGGAUGUAGAUCAGAGAGUUCAAUGGAUGAAAGAAAAUUCCAAGGAGACAUAUGAGGAAGCAAAAGAAUGCAUGAGAACAAACUACUAUGGGGCAAAGCUUGUCACAGAGGCACUACUUCCUCUUCUUCAGUUGUCCUCCUCUGGGAGAAUUGUCAAUGUCUCAUCAGGUUUUUCACUGCUAAGAAACUUCAACAGUGAAGAACUGAAGAAUGAGUUUAACGACGUCGACAACCUUACUGAAAAGAGACUAGAGGAGCUGUUGGAUUCAUUCCUAGAAGAUUUCAAGGCCAAUUUGAUAGAGGCACAUGGGUGGCCGACCGGUGGCUCGUCAGCGUACAAAGUCGCCAAAGCUGCCCUCAAUGCUUACACAAGGAUUCUCGCCAAGAAGUACCCUAGGAUGCGCAUCAACUGUUUGACGCCUGGUUAUGUCAAGAGCGACAUGUCGAUGCACAUGGGAGUUUUGACGCCUGAGGAGGGCGCUAGCAACCCGGUGAAGGUCGCUCUCUUGCCCGACGAUGGCCCGACGGGUGCUUAUUUUGAUAGGGAUGGCGUGGCCUCGUUUGUGUGA
rnacentral:rRNA from 1 species